AGCUAGAGGCCAGGAAAGAGAAUAUGGAAACUAAAAAGAGACCACAAUAUGGCAUGGUGCCCAUUCUGCCCUAGGUAUGUUCCUGCAUCUGCUCUCCAUCGGUCAGGAUUCCAUGGUCACUGCAUAUAUGCAGUUCCCACCAGGUAGGUCCCAAGAAAUCCAUAUUUCUGUUAUAGUUAUGUAGAAGACUGCUUUGAGGAACAAUUAUCUUUAAAGGAGUCUGUUGAAGACUUUAUUUGGGAGAAUGUGUAUGUCGCUCCAGAGUCAGAAUUACACAGAUUCCAUUUGAAAUCUGUAGGAUUGGGAAGGAAAUUGAAGUAGCUGCUCAUCACUCUUGCACUACUUUGCGGGGUAAGUGGAACCGAACUGCGGAGGCUAUUUUGAUUUGGCUGUGCAUCCAGUAGUAGUUAUUUGUCUGUCAGACUGUGGUGAUCAUCAUGUUCUUUGCCCUGUGCAGGCUAAAUCAUAUCUGCCAGCAGCAG
rnacentral:lncRNA from 1 species